rnacentral:rRNA from 1 species
AUUGAAUGCUGGCGGCAGGCUUAACACAUGCAAGUCGAGCGGAGCGAGGGUGCUUGCACCUUAGCUUAGCGGCGGACGGGUGAGUAAUGCUUAGGAAUCUGCCUAUUAGUGGGGGACAACAUUCCGAAAGGAAUGCUAAUACCGCAUACGCCCUACGGGGGAAAGCAGGGGAUCUUCGGACCUUGCGCUAAUAGAUGAGCCUAAGUCGGAUUAGCUAGUUGGUGGGGUAAAGGCCUACCAAGGCGACGAUCUGUAGCGGGUCUGAGAGGAUGAUCCGCCACACUGGGACUGAGACACGGCCCAGACUCCUACGGGAGGCAGCAGUGGGGAAUAUUGGACAAUGGGCGGAAGCCUGAUCCAGCCAUGCCGCGUGUGUGAAGAAGGCCUUUUGGUUGUAAAGCACUUUAAGCGAGGAGGAGGCUACUUAGAUUAAUACUCUAGGAUAGUGGACGUUACUCGCAGAAUAAGCACCGGCUAACUCUGUGCCAGCCGCCGCAGUAACAC